CGGUGGUUAUUGCGAGAGGGAAACGCCCGGUCACUUUCCGAACCCGGAAGCUAAGCCUCUCAGCGCCGAUGGUACUGCAAGGGGGACCUUGUGGGAGAGUAGGACACUGCC
rnacentral:rRNA from 1 species